CUCCUACGGGAGGCAGCAGUAGGGAAUCUUCGGCAAUGGACGAAAGUCUGACCGAGCAACGCCGCGUGAGUGAAGAAGGUUUUCGGAUCGUAAAACUCUGUUGGUAGAGAAGAACGUUGGUGAGAGUGGAAAGCUCAUCAAGUGACGGUAACUACCCAGAAAGGGACGGCUAACUACGUGCCAGCAGCCGCGGUAAUACGUAGGUCCCGAGCGUUGUCCGGAUUUAUUGGGCGUAAAGCGAGCGCAGGUGGUUUCUUAAGUCUGAUGUGAAAGCCCACGGCUCAACCGUGGAGGGUCAUUGGAAACUGGGAGACUUGAGUGCAGAAGAGGAAAGUGGAAUUCCAUGUGUAGCGGUGAAAUGCGUAGAGAUAUGGAGGAACACCAGUGGCGAAGGCGACUUUCUGGUCUGUAACUGACACUGAGGCGCGAAAGCGUGGGGAGCAAACAGGAUUAGAUACCCUGGUAGUCCACGCCGUAAACGAUGAGUGCUAAGUGUUAGAGGGUUUCCGCCCUUUAGUGCUGAAGUUAACGCAUUAAGUACCCCGCCUGGGGAGUACGGCCGCAAGGCUAAAACUCAAAGGAAUUGACGGGGCCCCGCACAAGCGGCGGAGCAUGCGGAUUAAUUCGAUGCAACGCGUAGAACCUUACCUGGGUUUGACAUGGAUCGGGAGCGCUCAGAGAUGGGCGUGCCUCUUUUGGGGUCGGUUCACAGGUGGUGCAUGGUUGUCGUCAGCUCGUGUCGUGAGAUGUUGGGUUAAGUCCCGCAACGAGCGCAACCCCUAUUGUUAGUUGCCAUCAUUAAGUUGGGCACUCUAACGAGACUGCCGGUGAUAAACCGGAGGAAGGUGGGGAUGACGUCAAAUCAUCAUGCCCCUUAUGACCUGGGCUACACACGUGCUACAAUGGAUGGUACAACGAGUCGCGAGACAGUGAUGUUUAGCUAAUCUCUUAAAACCAUUCUCAGUUCGGAUUGUAGGCUGCAACUCGCCUACAUGAAGUCGGAAUCGCUAGUAAUCGCGGAUCAGCACGCCGCGGUGAAUACGUUCCCGGGCCUUGUACACACCGCCCGU
rnacentral:rRNA from 1 species